GUAUCAUUUACCCCCAAGGCAUCCACCUGUCUUGGGGAUGACUGGGAUUUAUUAGAGAAGGGAAGCAAAGGAAAACAUCCUAGAGAAGGGAAGCAAAGGAAAACAUCCAGUCUCCUGAUCUGACAUUCACAGGUAGGAAUUUACAGCAAGACUGUCAACAUUUGUAACAGGGCUUUGUCUUGAAUUUGAAUGUCUAAAUUCACUUAUCUACCAUUAGGAAGAGAAUCACCAGGAAGAGGAGCGGGUAGGGAAGCUCUGUCUUUCCUGAAUGGGCUUCCCUGCAGGGCGCACUCUGGAAAGGCAAAGCUGUUCUGAGGGGACCCCCACUGGAGAUAGUUAAAAUUACUUGUAGCAGUCUGGCCCUUUGAAGGGAACAGUCCUGUGUGGCUAUCAGCAACCAUGAGAAGACUGUGUAGCUGGAUAUUCCAGUUAGAUAAACUGUCAACUUAUGGCUCAUCUUAAAACUGUUUUUGCUUUCCCAGG
rnacentral:lncRNA from 1 species